rnacentral:rRNA from 1 species
GCUCAAAUUUUGAAUCUGGCGGUCUUCGCAGGCCGUCCGAGUUGUAAUCUAGAGAAGCGUCUUCCGCGCCGGCCCGUGUACAAGUCUCCUGGAAGGGAGCGUCAUAGAGGGUGAGAAUCCCGUCUCUGACACGGACCACCGGUGCUAUGUGAUGCGCUCUCGACGAGUCGAGUUGUUUGGGAAUGCAGCUCAAAAAGGGUGGUAAACUCCAUCUAAAGCUAAAUACAGGCGAGAGACCGAUAGCGAACAAGUACCGUGAGGGAAAGAUGAAAAGGACUCUGGAAAGAGAGUUAAACAGUACGUGAAAUUGCUGAAAGGGAAACGCUCGAUGUCAGUCGCGUCGGCCAGGGAUCAACCUUGAUAAUCGAGGUGUAUUUCCUGGUCGACGGGUCAGCAUCAGUUUCGGUCGUCCUACAAGGGCCGAGGGGAACGUGACACCCUUUCGGGGGUGUGUUAUAGCCCUUCGGUCGUAUGUGGCGACUGGGACUGAGGAGACUCGGCGUGGGCUUUCAUAGCUCGCGCUAGAGAUGCUGGCAUAAUGGCCUUGAGCGACCCGUCUUGAAACACGGACCAAGGAGUCUAACAUGCCUGCGAGUGUUCGGGUGGAAAACCCGAUCGCGAAACGAAAGUGAAAGUCGAGAACUCCAUCCACGGAGUGCACCGACGCCCGGAUUCGUCGUCUUCGACGACGGAUCUGCGGUAGAGCAUGCAUGUUGGGACCCGAAAGAUGGUGAACUAUGCCUGAAUAGGGCGAAGCCAGAGGAAACUCUGGUGG